UUCACAGUACGUGAACCGUUCAGGGGUAAACGGGAGAGACCCGAAAGGUCGAAAGGGGGAGACUCAAUCCCGCCCGCAAGUCCGGUGCCGUCUCCGGUCCCCAAGGAUGCUGCUGGCCACCGGCCGUGUCGCAAGGCACGAGCCGGGUCUUAGUCGGUGGCACCGGGACUGGGGGUCCGGCUGCGGCGAGAUGCACUUCUCCCCCGAGUAGGACGUCGCGACCCGUUGGGCGUUGUACUCUGGCCUAAGGCCCGGGAUGAGACCGAGGGGACCGCCACGUGACUGCGUGGAGCUACGGUCCCCCGGACCCUGGAAGUCCUGGCCGGUGCCCGACGGCAUGUAUCGCGGAGAAGGCCCGCUCCCUCGCAGAGCGAGCGUCUGGCCCGGUGGGCAAGCUCGACGCCGGGGUUAGUGGUGCCGUGGCUUCCGUCACGUCCCCGCCCCCCGUCGGCUGCUGGCCUCCGGAGUCCUCAGACGGUGGCCAUCUCCCGUCUGCGGCGCUUAUGCUUCGGGUGCUUUCCCGACCCGUCUUGAAACAC
rnacentral:rRNA from 1 species